CACCACUUGAGGACUAGAAAAAAAAGGACUGGGGAACAGGAAGUAGAACAACACGGGCAGAAUAGUUAGGGAACAGGAAGUAGAACAACACGGGCAGAAUAGUUAGGGAACAGGAAGUAGAACAACACGGACAGAAUAGUUAGGGAACAGGAAGUAGAACAACACGGACAGAAUAGUUAGGGAACAGGAAGUAGAACAACACAGACUAGUUCAAGGAUGAGUCCUUAAGCAAGACUUUAGCUUCAACUAUUCAUCCAGUCAGUAUUAAGUCCCUGAAAUAUGUUGUUGUAAAGAAACUUGGGGAAACAUGCUAGAGAAGACUCUUCCCAUAAAUGGGAAUAUAAAGCUUCACUUUAGUCUUUUGUGCUAACUUAAUUUGAACUAUCAGGAAAAGACAAAAAAGAUGAUAGAUGCUAGCAAAACCAUUCUAGACCUAGUAUGAGCGGGAGACCUUAUACCAGUGUAUCUACCGAGCUCUAAAAUGGGGUUGUGGGAGUUGGAGCAUUGGUCAGGGCUUCCUUAUUUUUGUCGUUGAGAAAGAAACCUUCAAUAAUGAGAUCUGCAUCGUCGAGACAAACAAGACCAUCGCCUAGAACCCCAUGCUGACCUUCUGUGGCCACCUCUACUUUUCCUUCUACCUCUCCCCUUCCCCCUCAUCUCUUCCCCAUUUGCAUACCUUGCUCAUCUCAUAAACGUUUACUAAAUGGAAUCGUGUUGUUGGUAUACGUUUAGAAUUGGCUUUUUAUUUGUCGUAACUUCACUGGGGCUCACCCAAGUCGUGUCCAUCAACGUUGUUACAGCUGCGUAGCAUUCUAUGAUGUAGAGUCAGCACAGCUUGGCCAGUCGACCCUUUCCAAACAUAUGGACUGCUUUAAAUACGGAGUUAUAGGGAAAAAAUACAUAUUUUGUGUAGACAUAGUUAUGGUUUUUCCUGAGAUAAAUGUCCAAGAAUCUGAUUUUGAGGUUGUAUGGUAAUUGUGGGAUCAGAGGGAAUGUCUUAUCUGUUUUCUGUUGCUAAUAGCCCAAUAUGGCAGACUAAGUAAGGUAUAAGGAAAGAGUUAUUUUGGCUUACAGUUCUGGCAUGACCCAUGUCUAUGACCUUGGUAGUGGAAACCUGAGAGGGCUUAGGACACCAUAUGGCGUCUUUUUAUGUUGGUGCAUGCACACCUGAGCACAUCUAGGCUUGCCUCUACUCCUCUAUGUUAUUCUGUUCUCCCUCUUGUAAGGCCACAAAGAUUCAAUGGUGGUGUCCUUGUCUCUCCCCAUCAGCUCCCAAGGCCCUGCCUCUAAGCACCAGAGUGAGAGUAAAUGCUCACCCUCACCGUAGAUUCAGUUUCAGCAGAGUCUUCAGAGGGAGGAAACCACUCUUUUUUUUUUUUUAAGAUUUAUUCAUUUAUUAUAUAUAAGUACACUGUAGCUGUCUUCAGAUACACCAGAAGAGGGCAUCGGAUCUCUUUACAGAUGGUUGUGAACCACCAUGUGGUUGCUGGGAAUUGAACUCAUGACCUCCGGAAGAGCAGUCGGGUGCUCUUAACCACUGAGCCAUCUCUCCAGCCCCGGAAACCACUCUUGAAUGACAGUGGUGGACAUCUCUUAUAGCUCACAUGGAAAGAUGGUGCUGUGCAGUAUUUUAGGAGACUAAGCUGUCAGAGCUGCUGCCUUUAAAAAAAUCAUGUAAAAUCUACCUCCUUGUUUAUACCACCUACGUUAUAUAAAAUGUAUGUCUUCUAAGUCUGUGUUCCCGGGUGUUCUUAGAAGAAUUAUUUGUGCUAGGGGAAAAAAACUAAACAAAAAAUAUAUAUGGUGCUAUGUUCCGGUUCCUUUUAUUUAUUCCUUCUGUUUGUCCCUCAGGUGAAAGCUGUCAUAGUGCUUUAAUUUGAAACUGCUACAAGAAUCAGAGCUCUGCCUUUCCCUCCAGACGCUCUUGUUUUUAUGUAUCUUUUGUUAGCCCUGUUGAGUGGUUGGUCUCUCGUGGACUUGGAGGUGAGUUAUAGAUGGUAACUUUUUAUCUCUCGGUUCUCUGCUUGGACUUUGAGCCUGGAACUUUAAAAGGUUUGCCUAACCAAAUCGGUCACAUACUCCUUUCAUUCUUCUUGUCUCGUCUGGGAAGGGUUUGCUUCCUUCUGCCUUGGUCUCUUUCUUGUUUUAAUAGUUAUGUCAAACAUCCUUCUUAUGUGCUCCAGACUGUAGUGACGCUUGUCGUCUUGCCGUGCCAAGUGCAGAAGAGUAACCAUGUCAUGACUUUAAAGCACUGUUUCUCCUCGGUGCUAAUGACGUGUUUGUCAUCAUCAAAGUCGGCGUGGACUGGAAGCAUGGCUUGCCCCGGCUUUCUCUGAGAAGAGAUGGGUUGGACAAGCUUGCCAUCCCUCGACCUGCAGCUGGCGGCAGCUGUGGUGGCUAGCGGAGGGAUGCAAAGUCGACGCAAAGCGUUUGCUCGUAAAGUAAGCCCAAGCAACCGCUUAGUAAAAUCGUUUGGCCUCGGCAACAAGAAAAUGAAGUCAUUUGGAGGAAACAGAAAUAAAACAAAGAAACAAAAGUGGAGAUUAGGUCCACAUGUGGGCCGAUGUGUCUCCUUGGAAGGCGUGGUCACGAAUUUUUGAUCCUCAAAAACAGCCACAUAUUAAAUCCAUUUAACUAAUUUACACAUGUUUGCCAUUUACCACAAAGAAAAUAAAUUAUAGUGGGCUGUGGAUGGGUGACCAGAAAGCCACUACCCCUGCAGUGGAAGGUAACUGAGGGUACUUGUACUAGGUAAUGGGUGCAGUAUGCCAGUCCCUGAGGUCUGGUUAGUCUUGUGAAGCUCUUGUUUCAAAUGAAUGGCCAUUUAGUGAAAUUUUGUAUAAUUUUUUCCCCCUAGAACUACCCUGCUCAAUUAUGGCCGAGUAGAUUCUGCUAAUCACAGGCUGCAUAGUUUGAACACUGAGAACAGUCAUUUGGAUGAGGUUUGUUUUUUUUUAAUCCAUGCCUGAGUUUCAGUAGAGCAUUAGACAAACUGUGUCACAGAUCCCUUCUCUCUUCCUGACAGGUAUGAAUCUCAGUAAGAGUGUGAUCACCGAAUGGGUCACUUUUCUUUGCUCAUCAAGCCAACAACCUUCAUGUUAUGGGUGGAGAAAUGAGGGUUAAGGGUUGUGACUUGCCUGAGGUCAUACAGUAGUACAUUCAUGAUAACCCCAGACCAGUUUUCUCCCCAUCGAACAAAAAUGCAUGCCUCCCUCCCCCGAAGCAGGCCAGCCCGUUUCAGCAGAGACAUUUUCACCAGCUCUUCUGGAUCCACCCCUGCACCUCGCAGUCGCUCGUCCCCGGUCUUACUUUCUUGCUUGCUCGUGAUCUCUCUCAUUUUCCUGAUGAUUUGGCUUUGGGAACAGUGGAGUAAAUAAAAGUUCACAGACUUGUUAGCUGG